UAUAAUAAUACUCCCUUCGUCCGGAAAUAUUUGUCAUCAAAAUGGAUACAAGGGGAUGUAUCUAGAUGUAUUUUAGUUUUGGAUACAUCUUUUUUUAUUCAUUUUGAUGACUAGUAUUUUUGGACGAAGAGAAUAUAUCCUUACUUAGUUGGAGUAGAGAGAAGACAAGAGAUAAGAGAAGCGGACUCUUGGUUAAUAGCCAGCUGCAACACGAGACCCAAAACACCUUGUGAGGAUGUAAGAUGGAUCAACUAUUGAUAAACUAGUAUAUAUUUAAAACUUGUUAUUGUACAUGUCGGCUAAGAGGUUGAUUGUAGAUAACAUGGCGACUUUUUAUAGCGGUCCGUUGGUUCUAUUAUUAACCAUGUUUUGAAGGACGGUCAACCAGAUAUGCCACAUGGCGCAAAAUGAUUAGUCGUGAUGAGAGAUCUUUUGGGAAAAAAAUAGAUGAAGGUGUGGAUUAUUUUUUUAAUGUAUUUUUUCUUUUUAGAUGCAGGGAGGCCCUCUGGUAUUUUUUUAAUGGAGGCUUAUGCAAAGUUGCACUCAUUGAUAGGCUGCGGUGAUUCAGCGCGGAUCGGAGGAUGACCGGAUGCGGAUUCGAAUACCGAUUAUCCGGACUACGGAUUCGGAGCGGAAGCGGAGCGGACUCGGACUGAAAACGGGUAUUAAAUCUAUCUGUUGCCGCCACCGCCUCCUCCGGUCCUCCCAUCUCCAUCCUUCGCCUCGGCAACGUCCGCAAAGGAGCAGAGCGAUCGGCAGCAGAUCGGCGCGUCACGGGAGCAGACACGGCGACCGUAAGGUACAAAUCAGAGCGAAGUCGGUGCGGCAGACGGGCGAGAUCUGGAGAGUGGUGUUCUCUUUUGAAAUCUCCUAGCGCCGGCGCCUCCACUUCUCUCCUCAUCUCCUGGCGCGCAGAUAUCUUAUCUUUCUCCCUCCUCUACCGCUGCAACUCCAUGUGCGUGUUCGCUGUUGAUCAGUGUGUGUUCUAUGAAUCCAAUCCUUCAGUCUGCAGUGGGUGCUUUGGGGUUUCUGUAGGGACAAGGAGAGGAUCUGUGAUGCGUAGAUCGCCGGGUCGCACCACUAAGCCAGCGAUGGCUUCGCGGACCAGCUGUCGGAGAUCGCCGAGGCCACCAGGGGCAAGGAAACCCUCUUGCAGUGCGCCUUCAGUCAGGUGAGGUCCCAUCCUUCUUCAAAAUUCAUCUCAUGUAUGUACCUUCUUGAUUCCUCCAACAUUACUUGCUAAGCCAAGCAAGGUAGUAGUAUACUAGAAGAAAAUUACUUUUUGUGGAUGCCCAUAGGUAACAGAAAGCCACGAGUGGUCAGGAUCAACAAAUGACAUGUGGAGCUUCAUAUUCAGUUAUUUGUUAGCUACUUGCUUGCUUCAAAUGUCUACAUACUAUAGGAAUUAAGGUUCUAUUGUCUCUAUUUCAUAGAUUUCAUUGUAUAUACAUGUAGAUAACUUCAGCAUGAGAGCAAGAGUUUGGAGCAGAUGCAACACAUUCCGUUGCUCCUGCACUAUAUAGAUGCAUGUUUUUGUAGGUGAUUGUUCAUCUUUUAGUCAAUUUCCUUAUAGUUGUAGUUCAGACACAACUUUCCAUGUUGUCAACCAGAAAAAAACUAUUUGUUGGAACCAUUAGA